rnacentral:rRNA from 1 species
ACCGUAGAAGAACCUGCGGUUGGAUCAUUA